GACGAACGCUGGCGGCGUGCUUAACACAUGCAAGUCGAACGGAAAGGCCCUGCUUUUGUGGGGUGCUCGAGUGGCGAACGGGUGAGUAACACGUGAGUAACCUGCCCUUGACUUUGGGAUAACUUCAGGAAACUGGGGCUAAUACCGGAUAGGAGCUCCUGCUGCAUGGUGGGGGUUGGAAAGUUUCGGCGGUUGGGGAUGGACUCGCGGCUUAUCAGCUUGUUGGUGGGGUAGUGGCUUACCAAGGCUUUGACGGGUAGCCGGCCUGAGAGGGUGACCGGCCACAUGGGGACUGAGAUACGGCCCAGACUCCUACGGGAGGCAGCAGUGGGGAAUAUUGCACAAUGGGCGGAAGCCUGAUGCAGCAACGCCGCGUGCGGGAUGACGGCCUUCGGGUUGUAACCGCUUUCGCCUGUGACGAAGCGUGAGUGACGGUAAUGGGUAAAGAAGCACCGGCUAACUACGUG
rnacentral:rRNA from 1 species